rnacentral:rRNA from 1 species
CCUACGGGCGGCAGCAGUGAGGAAUAUUGGUCAAUGGGCGCGAGCCUGAACCAGCCAAGUCGCGUGAGGGAAGACUGUCCUAUGGAUUGUAAACCUCUUUUAUCUGGGAGUAAAAGAUUCCACGUGUGGCGUUUCGUGUGUACCCUAAGAAAAAGCAUCGGCUAACUCCGUGCCAGCAGUCGCGGUAAUACGGAGGAUGCGAGCGUUAUCCGGAUUUAUUGGGGUUAAAGGGAGCGUAGGUGGAUAGUUAAGUCAGGUGGGAAAGUUGGCGGCUCAACCGUAUCAGUGCAGUUGAAACGGGUAUUCUUGAGUACGCGAGAGGUGUGCGGAAUGCGGGGUGUAGCGGUGAAAUGCGUAGAUAUCACGAAGAACUCCGAUUGCGAAGGCAGCACACUGGAGCGCAACUGACGCUGAGGCUCGAAAGUGUGGGUAUCAAACAGGAUUAGAUACCCGAGUAGUC